AUUGAACGCUGGCGGCAGGCUUAACACAUGCAAGUCGAGCGGGGUGAUGGUGCUUGCACUAUCACUUAGCGGCGGACGGGUGAGUAAUGCUUAGGAAUCUGCCUAUUAGUGGGGGACAACAUCUCGAAAGGGAUGCUAAUACCGCAUACGUCCUACGGGAGAAAGCAGGGGAUCACUUGUGACCUUGCGCUAAUAGAUGAGCCUAAGUCGGAUUAGCAAGUUGGUGGGGUAAAGGCCUACCAAGGCGACGAUCUGUAGCGGGUCUGAGUGGAUGAUCCGCCACACUGGGACUGAGACACGGCCCAGACUCCUACGGGAGGCAGCAGUGGGGAAUAUUGGACAAUGGGGGGAACCCUGAUCCAGCCAUGCCGCGUGUGUGAAGAAGGCCUUAUGGUUGUAAAGCACUUUAAGCGAGGAGGAGGCUCUUUUGGUUAAUACCCAAGAUGAGUGGACGUUACUCGCAGAAUAAGCACCGGCUAACUCUGUGCCAGCCGCCGCAGUAA
rnacentral:rRNA from 1 species